AGGAAGAAGAGUUUCUCCUUGGUCUGAGAGCACCUGAAAGGGUUGUGAGGGACCAGGUACACCUCACCUGGGUGGUCUCUUAAACUAACUAAGGAUUCCUUCUGAUCCCUGUCAAGCGGAUGAACUCAGAUGCCCAGCUUCUCCAGGAAAGAAACAGUCACUCUCAGUCCUGCCAAGAUCAGGAUGGAGGAAAGUGGAUAUGCAACAGGAUGGUAGUGAGAUAGUGACAUAUUGAGAGAGUUUUGUAGUAGGGGUGGGGGAGAUGUAGGAAUGGAGGAUAGUUCUGUGCUGUGUCCUCCUGAGGGAAAUGGAGGAAUACUUUCCGUCCUCCUCUGAACCACUGACACCAGAGCUUCUAAACUGGAGCUGACGUGAAUUCCUUCACUUCUUGGAUACAUUUGGCCAUAUCUGAAGACCGUUUUGACUAUCAUGCGUUGGAGAUCUCUAACCAGCAUCAGGUGACUAGAGAUGCUCUUUAAGCAACCUUUACAACACACAGAAGAGCAAAACAAAACAAACUGCCCAACCCCGAAUGUCAUCAGUGCUGAGAAACCUGGCCUAAGAGUGACUGCGGCUUAUGGAUUAUCACCAGCGUCAUGGAGCUACAUCAAACUGGAGUGCUCUCUAAUGUCCAUAACUUUGUAUCUCUAAGUCUCUGAAGACCCAACCCACACAUCACCGCAGUGGAUCAGAGGCAGGGAUAGGAACAAAUAAGAGAGAACAAUAAUUGGGCACCUACUAUGUGCCAGAAGUCCCAAUAGAGUAGAUACACUACAGUCCUUCACUACUAAAGGGCAAAUAUAAAACUGUCCUGGGUCCCCCCACACACACACUCCCCCUUUUCCUUUGCCAUCAACUGGUUAGACAUGCAAGUAGAGAAAUUCAAGAAUUUGGGAAGUCACUCCUAUUCGUUAAGAUAAGAGAAAUUCAACUUCAGCCGUGCAUGAAGGCUUCUGUGGUGUUCACACAGGAAUCCACAGAAGGAGAAAGAUAAUAGGGCUAGGGGAAAUGGGAGUGGCCUCAGGCCCUGAAGUUCAUCUGGCAUCCCAUCUGUCAAGUCUAACUUGACAUCCAGCCCACCAGUCUGGCUGCCAAUCAAAUCCUCCAAUCAGGCUUCUGGGAGUGAAGUCUUAACUAGGAAGGAUUCCUGUUGCUCUUGCUCUCCACAGGCUCUGAUGACCACCUCCUCCACCUGGGCUGAGGAAAGAGAAAUAGAGAGCAAGUGCUCACCCAAAGCUGGUAUAUUGAGAAUGUCUUGCGCGUGCUCGACUGGCCAGGAAGAACGACGCUGCAACAGGAUCCUUCUGCACACGUUUAUUGGGAGAGCUUGAUUGUAGAGGCGAAAAGACCCCGAGCCCAGAACUGGUGCUGCUUUUAUAGGCCUAGGAGAGGCGUGUCUUACACCCGGAUUGGUUAUGCACUACACCUCAUUUGCAUGUUCCUCAUCUGAUUGGCUACUCUCUCUCAGUACCUCACAGAGCCUCAUUAUCAUACCUCAUUUGCAUGUCUCACAUCUGAUUGGUUAUACUCUCAGUACCUUACAGAACCUCAUUAUCAUGCCCGGGCCAGGCAGUGUCUUUGCAAAAAACUUUACUGCAUAUGUACACAUUAGUUGUUUGUCCAAACUUAUGCGUGGUGGCCAGCAGUAGUCAGUGCCACUCUGCAACGGCACAUGUGGCUUCCCACAAGAAUGGGUGGCCAACCCUUGCUUAUUAGAAUUACCAGGGCCCAGUUUUCAAACUAAAACCUGCAGUAACAUCAGGAGCCCUGUAUUCUUUCUUGCACUUGUGACUAUCCUAGUUAAAUCUGUACUGUGUAGCUUCCUGUCCAGUGUCUCAUUAAAAUGUGAGCUUCGUGUGAUAGGGGACCGGAGCUGUCUUGGUCACCAGUGUAUCCCCAGGAGGAAACAGCUAACCAAGGGUACAUUCUGUGUGGCUGUCCUGGUUAGCUUUUCGUCAACUUGACGCAAGCUAGAGUUAUCUGGGAAAAGGAACCUCAAUAGAGAAAGUGUCUCCAUCAAAUCACCCGUGGGCAAGUCUGUGGGGGCAUAGUCUUGAUUAAUGAUCGAUGAAUUGAUCAUAACUGAUAAUAAUCGAUAAUAAUGAUGAGGGGGUCCAGCCCACUUUGGGUGAUGUCAUCCCUGCACAGGUGGUCCUGGGCUGCUUUAUAAAGCAGGCUGGUAAAUCUGUGGGAAGCAAGCCAGUGAUCAGCACUCCUUUAUGGCCCCUGCUUCAGUUUCAGCCUUCAGGUUCCUCCCAGACCUGAGUUCCUGUCUUGGGUGGCUUUCCUCACCAAUGGACUGUGAUCAGAAUGUGUAAGCCAAAUAUAACCCUUUCCUACCCAAGUUGCUUUAGCCAGUGCUUUAUCACAGCAACGGAAAGCAGGUAAGACAGUGUGCUAAUUCUCCAACUCUCUUAUCCCUUGUUCAUAUCGGAUCUCGACUUCUUAGACAAAUACCAACAGUCCCAAAGACACUACAGAUAUCACAAACCUCUCAGAGUCACCACCACCACCCCCCGAAAAUCUAAAUCCAAAGCAAUGAUGGGAUGAUGGCUGUCCUUCCUAAACUGCCUGUGCUCAAAGAGGAAACCUGGGAUUUUUUGAGCUUCUGCCAAGCCGAAGGGAGGGCAGGGACCUAAGACAGUUCUGGCUUGGGCCCCAGGCAAUGGGGAGAGCAGGAGCACAAAUCGCAUUAGCACGGUGCUCAGCUGCUGAAUUAGAGGUUGCAGCCUGCUCAGCAGCUCUUCCUAAUAGGACAUUAAUGUUCAUUCUGAGCAAUUACUGUAUUUGCAACGGUUUCUUAAUGUUCGGCUUCUGGAGCCUCAGAGCUAAGGGCCUGUGUUUCCGGUAACCAGCUCUCUACUAAGGCGGACAGAUGAACUUCAGAAAGGCUCUUCCCAGCCGGAUCUGGGGAAAGUUCAGCAGCUGGCAGACUCUGUACCUGGCUUCCCUGACCUGAUCGCACCCUACAGACUUUCAAGUGAGAGUAGACAGAGGCAGAGAAGCAUAAAGCGAUCGUUCACCGGAGAUGAAAGGCCUCACUUCCUGCCGGCGGUGGACAGGGCUGCAUCUGUUUGUCUGCAGCAACUAGAGGAGCCAGUAUCUCAGCAGAACUGGCUCAGAGCACACCCAGUGGACAAAUCUGACAAAUGUCUUUCACCAGCCUUUGUAGAACUUUGUGCAGUGCUUUCUAGAAACAAGCAGAAGCUGUGUCAAGCAUAUAAUCUCCAACUAGUGCUGCCUUCAGGGUCUUUAAGAAGAAACAUGUCCCAGGCAGCCACAGGGGACCAGGCACCAAUGAAGAGGAUUUUGUUAGGAGAACAGAACAAUUGGUCAGGGGCAGUAAUUCCCAGACCAUGGGACACUCCACCCUUCAAACCAAAACCAAUCUAUGAGUAAACUGCCAAGGACUGUCCUUUCACUCAGGAUCCAGCCUUGAAUCAAGACUCUAGUAUUGCCCUCACCCCCCCCCCCCCAGCACUGCCCGUGUUCUUCACAAAGGACUGUGAGCGUGGCCCCUGUCAUCAGUUUGCUGGGAGCAUUUUCCAGGCUCUACACAGAGCUGGGCAGAGCCAAGUGUCUUCUCCCUCAUUCAUUCACUCUCUAAACCUUUACAUAACUGAAAAUACAUCAAGUAGUGGGGGCUCUAGAAAGAAAAAUAUGACAAAGCCAGGAGACAGAGUAUGGCUGUAGGGAGUCAGGAAUGUUUUUCCUUUGAGGCGCAAUUUGAUCAGAAACCCAAUGACGUGAGACUCUGCCAGACCCACAUAUAAUGAAAGUCAGGGCUAGGGAAGUAACUCGUUGCUAAAGUAUAUGUUUGGCAUGUGACAAAACUUUAUUAUCAGCCCCGUCCAAACAAAAUAAUAAACAAACAAACAAACAAAUGGUAGUUACAGGGUAGGAGAAGGCCUGGCUGAAUCUGAAGACACACACCUGUAAGCUUUAACCCCAGCACUCAGGGAGCAGAGGCAGGUGGAUUUCUGUGAAUAUGAAGCCCAUCUACUCUACAUAUUGAGUUUCAAGCCAGCCACUGUUACAGGAUUAGAUCAUAUCAAAAACAACAAAACAAAAUAAAACAAAUACCCCAAAACAUUAGAAGUCUUGAGCCUUACAGAAAUCCUUAGGAUAUGCGGUUAGUUUUUCCUCUUAUAAGCACUGAGGUGUGCCCUUCCCGCAGCCUUGAGCAGGCUAAACAGACCUUAAUUGUUUGCCACAGUUGGUCUUCAACCAAUUUAGCCUGACCUAGGGUGGAGUCUUCUGCCUUGCCCUACCUGCAAUUUCCUACAGGAGCAGACUGCCCGCUGAGCUUGCUUUGCAACAUAAUCCAGCUGAAACAAAGGAUGGGUCUGUGGAUUUUCUCUACACUUCCAGCCUCCCUUUCAGGUUCCCAGCUGGACAGCUACACUGAGGAAUGAACCUAGUGUCCUCUGCAUGUGCUGAAUUGCAACAACAGGCCUUUUUUCUUGUAGAAGGGGCACGUUUUUUAAAAAUUGACAGAGGGUCUCACUCAAUUACUCAUGCUGUCCUCGAACCUGGGCCUGUCUUGAACAUGAGAUCCACCUUCCUCUGUCUCCACGGGGCCCUGGGAUCACCACCUACAUCACCAGGCAUGGCUAAAGGCUUGGGUUUUUAUUAUGAAAAGAUUAAAGAGCUUUGAGAUGAAG